GUGCUGGCGGGAGACGGCGGCCAUGGCGGUGCCCCACGCCAUCGACACCCCAGCCGCCCACUGGAAACGCCACAUCGUGCGGCAACUGCGACAGAGGGACCGCACGCAAAAGGCCCUCUUCCUGGACCUGGUGCCGGCCUAUAAUCGUCUUCUAGAGAAAGCUGAGCUGCUGACCAGGGUCUCAGAGAAACUUCAGCCAGAGCCAAGCGAUGUCACUACUCACCAGGGCCCCGGGGAGGAGUUGGGGCUUGACUCAGGUCAAGUCCUAUCACCAGCCACUCUGAAGGCAAAGUGGCAAGGAGAAGAGGAGAGGCUUCGGCUCGUGUGUGGUGAGAUGGCCUACCAGGUGGUGGAGAAAAGCUCAGCCCUGGCUGCCCUGGAAUCGGUGCUGGAGGAGCGGCAAAGCAGCCUGGCGGCCCUGGAGGCCCGCGUGGCGCAUCUGCAGGAAGCGCGGGCGCAGCAAGAGGAGCAGGUGGCGGCGCAGCAGGCCAGCAACGCUGCGCAGCGGGCGGCCUACGAGGAGCUGCGCGCGCGCGCCGCGCUCCGGGAGGCCGCACUGCGCAGGCUCCAGGAGGAGGCCCGAGACCUGCUGGAGAGGCUCGUGCAGCGCAAGGCUCGCGCCGCGGCCGAGCGCAACCUGCGCAACGAGCGUCGCGAGAGGGCCACGCAGGUGCGGGUGUCCGAGGAGCUGAAGAAGGCUGCCAAGCGGACAGUGAGCAUCAGCGAGAGUGCAGACACCCUAGGCGGUGGGAUCAAGGAGGGGAGAGAGGCUGAGGUCCUUGCUGCUGAACCAGUGACCCAGGAGGUUGAAGCUGGAGGAAAGUGGUCAAGGUCCUUUAGGUCUGCCUCUGCCACCUCCCUGACGCUGUCCCGCUGUGUGGAUGUGGUGAAGGGGCUUCUAGAUUUCAAGAAGAGGCGAGGCCACUCCAUUGGCGGAGCCCCCGAGCAACGAUACCAGAGCAUUCCUGUGUGUGUGGCUGCCCGGCUUCCCACUUGGGCCCAGGAUGUGCUGGAUGCCCACCUCUCCGAGGUCAAUGCUGUCUGUUUUGGCCCCAACAGCAGCCUCCUGGCCACUGGAGGAGCUGACUGCCUCAUCCAUCUCUGGAAUGUUGUGGGUGGUCGCCUGGAGGCUAACCAGACCCUCGAAGGAGCUGCUGGCAGCAUCACCAGUGUGGACUUCGACCCUUCAGGCUCCCAGGUAUUGGCAGCUACUUACAAUCAGGCUGCCCAACUGUGGAAAGUGGGGGAGGCCCAGCCUAAGGAGACACUAUCUGGACACACAGACAAGGUGACGGCUGCCAAAUUCAAGUUAACAAGGCACCAGGCGGUGACUGGGAGCCGAGAUCGGACGGUGAAAGAGUGGGACCUUGGCCGCGCCUACUGCUCUAGGACUAUCAAUGUCCUUUCCUACUGUAAUGAUGUGGUGUGUGGAGACCAUGUCAUCAUUAGUGGCCACAAUGACCAGAAGAUUCGCUUUUGGGAUAGCAGGGGGCCUUGCUGCACCCAGGUCAUCCCUGUGCAGGGCCGGGUCACCUCCCUGAACCUCAGCCAAGAUCAGCUCCAUCUGCUCAGCUGUUCCCGAGACAACACACUCAAGGUCAUUGACCUGCGUGUCAGCAAUAUUCGCCAGGUGUUCAGGGCUGAUGGCUUCAGGUGCAGUUCUGACUGGACUAAAGCUGUGUUCAGCCCAGAUAGACACUAUGCACUGGCAGGUUCCGGGGAUGGAGCCCUCUACAUCUGGGAUGUAGACACUGGAAGACUGGAGAGUAGCCUUCGUGGACCCCACUGCACUGCCAUCAACGCUGUGGCCUGGUGCUGCACUGGGAACCAUGUGGUGAGCGUGGACCAGGCCCGGAAGGUUGUGCUCUGGCAUUAGUAUCACGACUCACCCUGCUGGGGCUGGAGCUCCAGUCUGAAGCCUGAAGCCGGAGGAGAACUUCACCAUGUUCCACAGGGCUGCAGGGCUCCAAGGCUGGGGAGUGUGGGCACUGGAGGCGGCUGAAUAAAGACCUGGAGGCAGCAAAGGGCAGCAGCUCUGGAAGCCAUGGGGUCCGAUUGGGUCUUGAGGCCAAACCAACAUCUUGGACCUUCCUACUUCACAGCCGACAUAGACUGAGGCUGAGGGAGGCCCUGGAAAUUCCGAGGAGGUUAAAGUGGAUGUAGCCCAAGAAGAUCCUGUGGAAAAGGUUCUAAUGAGCCAGAGAGCGAUGUCAAGUGCUUGGCAUACCAGGCUGCUUAUCGACUGGGGUCAUGCAAGCUCCAGACGUGGAGUGUGGAGGGGUGGGAGCGGCCUGUGUGUGUCUGCAUUGUGGAGGGCAGCUGUGGACUGGUCCUGGAAUUCACUUCAAAGGGCACCAAAUUUAAUCUACAAACUGGGGUAUGAGGCAGGCCUGACAGGGUGGAAACUGGACCCUCUACUUCCUUCAGCAUGUAGGCUUGGGGAAUGGUCAGCAUGAGGACCUGGGCCAUUCACCAGGCAGCAGAGGGCACCUCUGUCUCUGACCUCAUGGGGCUCACCUCAGCUGAGAUUCAACGGCUUUACUCUGGGACUCGCACCUUUCUUCUUUACCACUUUAUAGUGAUCUUCCUUGGGGAUCUUCAUAGUCACAGGGCUUUUGGAAAAUCAUUCCUAGGAUAGGUAGAGUGUUUGGAACCUGGUCUAUAACCAGAUGGUUCAGGUGUGCAUCAGUCCCACUAUAUAGUAGCAGAGUAAUUUUGAGCAAGUGGACGAUGUCCUUUCCUGUAAAAUGGGAUAAUAGUAGUAUCCAUUGUAAGAAUUCAGUGCAUUAAUGCCGGGGCUGUUAGUACCCAGGUCUGUACUCUGCCCACUCCCAGAUUACUCACUGUCCUGAGCGCUAAAAACAUACUCUGCCAUGUCCUGGGCACCUUCCAUGAUGUAAUGCCUGGGGCUGCCCUGCCCUGCAUCCUAAACGGUCUCUCCUCACUCAGCCCAUGGUCAGAGUGACUUUCUAAGGUGUCACAUUUUUGUAAACAACUCUUGAAUAUCCUCCUGCUCUUUGCAGAGAAAC